rnacentral:rRNA from 1 species
ACCUACGGGGGGCAGCAGUAGGGAAUUUUCGUCAAUGGGCGCAAGCCUGAACGAGCAAUGCCGCGUGAACGAGGAAGGUCUUCGGAUCGUAAAGUUCUGUUGAAGGGGAAAAAGAGCGGAGAGAGGAAAUGCUUUCUGAUUGAUAUUACCCUUCGAGGAAGUCACGGCUAACUACGUGCCAGCAGCCGCGGUAAUACGUAGGUAGCGAGCGUUAUCCGGAAUGAUUGGGCGUAAAGGGUGCGUAGGCGGCCUGCUAAGUCUGGAGUGAAAGGUACCGGCUCAACCGGUACAGGCUCUGGAAACUG